rnacentral:rRNA from 1 species
GAUGAACGCUAGCUGGAGGCUUAAUACAUGCAAGUCGAGCGGGAUUGGUAGCAAUACCAUGAGAGCGGCGGACGGGUGAGUAACGCGUACACGACCUACCUUUGACUGGGGGAUAGCCCUGGGAAACUGGGAUUAAUACCGCAUAUAAUUCUGAAUAAUAAAGGUUUGGAAUGAAAGUUCAGGCGGUCAGAGAUGGGUGUGCGUCUGAUUAGCUAGUUGGUAAGGUAACGGCUUACCAAGGCGAUGAUCAGUAGGGGGCGUGAGAGCGUGAUCCCCCACACGGGGUACUGAGACACGGACCCGACUCCUACGGGUGGCUG